UGCCACAGCCAUAUCUACCUGUAGCCCAAGACCAGUUACGCACUGAAGCCAAGCAGGGCUGAGCCUGGUCAAUACCUGGAUGAGAGACCACAUGGGAAAUCUAGGUUGCAGUUGGAA
ensembl:rRNA 5S_rRNA 5S ribosomal RNA